rnacentral:rRNA from 1 species
GACGGAGGGUGCUAGCGUUGUUCGGAAUUACUGGGCGUAAAGGCGCGUAGGCGGCCGUUUGCGUCGGAUGUGAAAGCCCGGGGCUCAACCCCGGAACGGCAUCCGAUACGGGACGGCUGGAGACCGGGAGAGGAGGGUGGAAUAGCCAGUGUAGAGGUGAAAUUCGUAGAUAUUGGCUGGAACACCGGUGGCGAAAGCGGCUCUCUGGCCCGGUUCUGACGCUGAGGCGCGAAAGCGUGGGGAGCAAACAGG